AUUUAAUAAAUAAAGAUUAAUUAACUAAAUUAAAUUUUAAUUUAUUUAAUUGGGGUGAUUAAAAAAUUUAUUUAACUUUUUUUUUAAUUUUACAAAUUAUUUGAUUAUUAAAUUAAAAAUUAAAUUUUAAUUAAAAAUAAAU
rnacentral:rRNA from 1 species